CUGCCAUUCUGGUUCAGUUGUAAAUAAGAUUUCAUCGAGGUGGGACGGUGAGAUACGCAACUCUCUGCGAUUUCAUUGGAGAUCUGUUACGGAAUUGAUUGAAGUUUUGUUGUGAUUGCGGGACUGGUAUUUAAGUAAUGACGGGUUAUUAGUGGGAUCAUCUCUGCACCAAUUGUUCGUGUGAUUUGAAGUGAUUGCAGAACUGUGUUCGUGUUUGAUUGUCCAAGGAAUUAUUGUGUUCUGUUGAAAGCUCUGGAAUUAAGAAGGCAUGUCAACUUGAAUUUCCCGCACGUUUCCUACUCGAGCGAAAUUCUGGAGGGAACCGAAGGACCAGCCCGGUUUAGACCGGAUAUGAGCAAUUUUCAGCGUGGUCCAAGUAAGAUCUUUUACGACUCUCAACACACGUGGGACCCCGGCGAGACGGACUUGGAAGUUGAAGAGGCCAUCACUUCAUUUAGUGCUCAAGGAGGAGAUUUCCCACCUCCCACAUUGGCCAAACCUGUCCCUCUUUUAGGCCAUAUGAUGCUUCAUCAGCGGCUAAACCGCUCUGCUGAGUUGGACGACAUUUUGGAAGAAUCUUUGGACGAAGCGGACGAUGACACCACCAUUCAUCACCUUUCGUCCCCUUCACCGCCAAUGAUGUCAAGUCCGGCCUCGUCCAACUCUCCGGAGGGCUCCUUCCGACUCCCAAGAGGCUAUAUGACUCGAAGGAGUAAAGACUCUCAAGAAUCCACAGAUUCCUCCGAGUUCUCCUCACCAAGAAUGUCAGAGUCGAAGAGCAAAUCUUUGGCGAUCCCGCUAACUUUGACAAGUCAACAUAGGAGUCAAGACUCGGGCUUUUCAGAUUCAGGAGAUUCCAAUCAAGGUACAGGGUUAGAGGCCAAGAACAGCCGUCGGGCGCAAGUGCAAGAGGUCCACUCGGAAGUGGUUCACGAGACCAGGACCAAUAGUUUUGAUCAGAAACCAUACCACGUGAGCAAAGUGUAUUUUUACUCAGUAAGUGACAUCCUUUCCCAAGAACACGAGGAGCAGAAAAGGCGUCGAGACCACGCAGGCCAUGUGUCCGUAUUGGCUUGCGAUGAUUUCCGGGCUUCCUCGCCCUGUUUGCCUCUUCUCUCACCGCCAAGGUCUCCCCCUUUGCCCCCAAGGGAUCCCAGCAACCCAUACUACGACUCGUUUCAUAUGGAACACAAGCCGAUCAUGCCUUCUCAAACCACCUCCACCCAGACCAAUCUGGGGGUCAAACGUCCGCAGUCCUCCCCGAACAGAAUUCACACUGGCACAAGCUCUUUGGGCCGAUCAAAGAAAAACGCCAAGAAGUCAGGGAUGACGGAUGCACCCAUCCCAACUAGUUUCCCAAAGACGAAUGGAUCUCUCUAUGAGAGCCUGAGCCUUGGUAGGCCGGACAAAAAGACCGAAAGUAUGAAGAGACGAUUGGCGGAUGUUCCCAAUGCUCCACCCUCCCCUAGUCUCAGAGGCUUGGGCUCAACUGGAAAAGGUCCACUUCCUCUGCCGUCCCAUUGUGCAUAUGACGGUUUUGAUGACCCACUCUCGGUGUGGAGGAAUAGCAUCAGAUCAUUGAAUCAGAGCGUAGAAUCCAUGGAGGAACACCUUGGCAUCCGGAAAAGCGACCUCGACCUUGAUAGCCUGACCACGGAUCCCGUGAAUUUUUGGCUCCGAGAACUGAGCAUGGUUCACGAGGCGGAAUGUACGAUCAUGUUGCAAUCGAAACCAGUGGCUGGUCCAGAGGUGGACACGGGUUCGAAUCCCCGCGAUGGAAGAGAGGAAUCGCCGCCCAAUGGAAUGUUCUGGGCGGGCAACGUUAAGGAUACGAUUCGAGCCAUUCAAGCCCGAGCUCACUCCAUAUCAGCUGUUUUCGCCAAGCUUUGCCGCCAACUCGGCCAUCGAGGUGGUGUGCAGAAGCUGGUGCCUCUAGUCCAAGGCCUGUCCCAUCAGGUCCAUUUGUUCCUCGUGGAAUACAACAAGUACAACCAUCUGCAAGUGAGUCUGCCCGGGUAUCGGCCUCGUAACUCGAGCAAAUCCCCGGGCAAGACGCGAAAGCCUCUUCGCUCGAAUGGCAGCAGUACCUUGGAGAUCCCAGAGGAGAUCCUUCAUCAGCAGAGAUUGCUUCUCCAGGCUUGUGACAAGCUCAAACUGACCAUGAGCCGGCAUCAAAUGCAACAACAGAGCAAUACCUCAAUGAACGAGAUCGUGGAUGUGAUCACGCAAUUGGGUGCUGUUUUCACCAAGCUCAUUGAACUCAUGUUAAGUAAAGAGAUCAAGUCCAGCGUUGAGGCCUUAGAUGAGCGCUCCGUUUCCGAUCUAGUCGUCCUCCGCCAAUCUGUGGAUUCCAUCAUCACCCUGGCCCUUGAGGGCAACCAUCUCUGUCGGCUCAUCGCCAAGCAUGGGGGUGUGAGAUCCCUGCUGACCAUUGCGGUGGAUGAUAGGCUCCGCAAUGUCCGGGUCAAUGCAUUCCGUGCUCUCGGCACCGUUUGUUGUGUCCUCGAAGGUAUCAUGGAGCUCGAAGACGCCGGAGGUAUCCAGAUCCUCUCCGAUACUCUCAGGGACAGCAAUGCAACCGAGGAGGAAAAAAGUGAAGCAGCGGGUCUUCUAGCGCAAGUGACCUCGCCGUGGAUUGAAAACAACUCCAGUAUCGAAGGACUGAGUCGACAUUUGAGCCAGUUGGUGGACUCCUUGACCUGUCUGUCCAAGAACACAAAAUCGGCCGAAACGUUCCUGCUCUCAUCGGCUGCUUUGGCCAAUCUCACCUUUAUGGAGCCCUCUGUGGUUCACCUUAUCCAGAAACAUAAUUCAGUUAAGGUUCUGGUCGACUCUGUUCGGGAGCAAAAGGCCAUUUCCAUCUACAUUCAAGAUCAAGUGGCGGCUGUUUUGGCCAAUAUGGCUGCCAACGUGGACAGCCGCGAAGAAGUUGUCAAGCAUGGAGGCCUGUCAAUCCUAUUGAGGUUUAUUCAUGCCGAACCACCAACCAGACCUCAACGACCCGAGGAUUUCGCUCAAAUGGCGGCCACAGAGCGAGUUCAACAGAAGUCCGCCAUCGCACUUUCCAGGCGUAGCAGGAGAGAAUUUCCUGCCAGCCGAAGAACCAAAUAACCGAUGGAGAUAACUAUUCAAUCACGCCGUUCGCCAUCCAUCAAAGCUGGACUCUCUCAAGCCUUUGGCCAUCAUCCAACUUCCAAUCUCGCUACUCAGACAUGCGCAGUUAAAGGGCAAUAUUACCAUGAGGUCUGCUGUCCGGAAGGUAUUCAAUGCCAUGUCAUAUGAUUUGGGCAGGGAUGAAAUAAACAUUGAACCUGUCGAGCUUGUCAUCACGGCGGCUUUGGUACCUUUUGAAUCCAAGAUUAAUGUGCGGACGCGGUUUGGUGACCAAAAACAAUCUCGAAUGACACAUGGGACAUUGUUCAACACCGGUCUCUAUCCGUGUUAAAAAAGUGCCGACUUAAGUGAGAUGGCCAUAACUCAUGUCCAGGCUUCCGUGAGAUGCGAUCGAAUCAGAAAUAUUUGCCUAAUGGAGACAAAAUGACCAUUAUAUUCUUCUCGAGCUUGAACAUGGGCUCGAUUCGAUUUUUUGGAACCAUUGGUUCACUUGGCAUUGCAUUCGAGAUAGGGGAAGUCUCGCGGGUUUGCCGAGGUUGUCAGAUGACGUCGUGGAUGAAAUAUUAUACCGCGGAUGUCAUUUUGAUAUUUCAUCGGUGAUACGGUUCGGACCUUGGCAGGCGGAUUUCUUCCCAAACUUGAACCCAUUCCAAGGCGUUGAAGGAUACUUAUGUACAUGCCGAAAUGAGCGUCGUAAACGGCCGUAUUCAAUUGUUCAAUACUGGUUUCCCCUUGACGCCUUAUGACCACUCAAACAGUCGUACCGUAUGUGUCAGUAUCUCAUUUGAGCUAGCUUCGUGAUGACCCUAUCUCAUUACAAGAUCGUGAGUGAAUUAAAUGCAAACUGAGAUUCACUUUGAGAUUUUGCGUCACUGUGCGAGCUGGCUGCCAAUUUGGCGCUUUUUUACUCACCCGUUUUCCUGUCUGUUUAUAUCCAUCAAGCCAGGUUGGCAGGGUUGCCAAAUGAAAAUAGAAACUUCCGACUCUUCCUGACAGAUUCUGAGGUCAAUCAAUCAGGGUUUUUUUGUUUGCCAGUGUGGUGGUUGGUUAUUGGAGAAUGAUGGUAGGACCAAAUGGGAUUGGUUGGGAUGGUGUUGGCCGAGUGGUCACCUUCUAAUAUCUCUAACACAAAGAGUUCCUCCUUGUUCCCGGCCAAGCAUCGGUUAAAGAGCUGUCAAGUUGUUAAUUGUUGCUUUGCACGCAUCGUAUGUUAAUCAAGCAGAUAAGAUGGACGAUAUCUCAUUUUGUGUAGGAAUAUCGCAUCAUUUGAGAUUAAACCGAGUCCUCCAAAUUGCUUGUCAUUAUUUUGGUUUGUCUAUUUGAGGGUCGUUUCGUUGGCGGAUUUUUUUUUCACCUUGGCCUCGCUGGGUCAGCAAAUCUACUGCGUGAGAUGCCAAUCGACGUAGCUCCAUGAACAGAAACGUCGGACAUGUCGGACAUGACUUGGUCAAAUACAUACAAAUUGCUUUUCGAUUAUGCAAUGACCCGAAAUUGGCCGAGCAAGUGGUCCGAUUGAAUGGUUUGUCCCGAUUAGUGGAGCUAUGCAAAAAUGAAUCCGCUCGGGUUGGUAGCGAUGGUGUUCUGGUCUCGUGUCUGGCUGCAGUC